AGGUGCGAUCAUACCAGCACUAAUGCACCGGAUCCCAUCAGAACUCCGCAGUUAAGCGUGCUUGGGCGGGAGUAGUACUAGGAUGGAUGACUCCUGGGAAGUCCUUGUGUUUAACCUC
rnacentral:rRNA from 2 species